rnacentral:lncRNA from 1 species
GCGGGGGUCUGCGCCUGGCGUCCGCGGCGGCGGCGGCAGCUGCGGGCGGCGGCGGAGCAGGCGGGAGCGGGCGCCAGGAGAGCGGGGGGAAGGAAGGAAGGGAGCGAGCGAGCUGCGGGGCUCAGGCGCUCCGCAGUGCUCCAGUAACGCCUCUCCCGUACUCCGUUGUGGGAUAACAUCUAGGCCUUGCAUGCCACUGGACUGUUCUGUUUACCUGUUCCAGUAUUUUGAGAUCCCAGAUCAGCACAAAGGAAUCUGGAAAGAUAAGAAGAUGAUACAAAGAUGGUAUUAG